rnacentral:ncRNA from 1 species
CACAAACGUUUCAUUGAUGCAUCAAAUUAGCUAUAUCUUCUAAACUAUAUAUGGUAGUAUAAUCGCACAUUGUGCCACUAGCUCCUUCAUAGCCUGGAUUUUAAAAAUUUUGGCUAUAAAGAAACUUAGGGAACAAAACACCCAAGAAUCCCUUUCCACAACACCAAUAUUUUAUUUUAUCUUAGCUAGAAAACUAGGCCAUAGAGAAAGAUAACAGGGGUGACCAAAAUGGUGCCAGCAGUCGCGGUUACACCAUUAACCCAAGCUAAUUCUUACAAUAAAAGAACAACCUAACUGACUAAACAACUACUUUCUUACGUAAAAAAUAAAUCUUAAACAUACCCGAAUAAGUCAUUAUAACUUAAGUUCUAACAAACCACAACUCGCAAAACCCGGAUUAGAUACCCGAUUAUUGUGUGGCUCAACGACAACGAAGAAUACUACCAGCGAAAGCUCGAACCUCAAACAAUGUGGCGGUGCUUAACUCCCCAUCAGGGGAUCCUGUGGCUUAAUUCGAUAAUCCACGACCAACCUUAGCUUUUAUUGUAACCAGCUUGUGUAUGGCCGUUUAUGCUUGCUCAAAAAAGAAAAAAAAGGAAGCAACUAGAACUAUUUUCGCUAAUUCAGGUGACAUACAGCCAAUUAAAAGCCGCUACAUGGGAUACAAAUGACUCAACCACCAGACUCAAAGAUUAAAUCUUUAACAAAGGAGGACUUGAAAGUAAGAUUAAGUACAUAAAACCAAUCUGAAUAAGAACUUAAGCGCGCACAAAUCGCCCGUCACUCCGGCAGUAAAGCCGGAUAAGUCGUAACACAGUAGGGGUAAUGGAAAUUGCCCCUAA